rnacentral:lncRNA from 1 species
UAAUUUAAAAUCUGCCAAAUUAAGGGGAAAGCAUGCACUCAUCCUUCUUUUCACUUACCAAUGCUAACAGGAAACUUGAAUAGCUAUUUAGGGAAAAUUUCUCAUUACAGAAGAUUGCAGCUAGUAUGUAAAAAAAGAGGUAAAAUAUCAUCAUUCUUAAAUCCUAAUGAAUCAAUGGAUCAAGGCAAUGAUCAUCAAUAGCUGUAAAUAACACAAAAUGGUCAUCCUGAUGAAGGUACACAACACCACGUAUAAAGUGUUCUCACCAAAAACUUAAAAUAGAAUCUCAUCAAGUCUCUAUAUCUCACUUUCAAUUUAUAAGAGAUAUAGAGGACAGAGGAACAUGCUAAACAACCCUACCAGUAUUCAGUAAUCAAAAUCCAGACUAUGACAACAUCUAUAGGUCAAAUAAUCCUGUUUCAUCCUCAAAUACAUUGAAAGGGGGAAAAAGAUGAGGGGGAAAUCCCUGGAAAACGGAUCUUGAUAAAGCUCUUGACUUGAUCCUACACUUAAAAUUAUAUAUUGUUAAUUUUGUUAGGUGUGAUAAUUACGUUGUAGGUACUUUUAGAGUUACUGUAAUGUUUAUGGAUGAAAUAAAUAUUUAUGAAUAAAAUAAGAAGAUUUACUUUAAAUUAUGUCAGAGAAGGGAGGUAGGUAAAGGAUUAUAUGAAACAAGAAUAGUCCUAAGUUGACAACAGUUGAAGCUAGGUGAUGGACAGUAAGCAGUCAUCAUACCAUUUUUGCAAGUUAUGUAUAUGAUUGAAAUUGCCAAUCAGAAAAAGUUGAUAAUAAAACUGUGUCCCAAAAUGCAAAGGCUGUGGCUUACAGAAAACUACAACUCUCAGGCUGAAUCCAGUCUGCUGCCUGUUUUUGUUAAUACAAUUUUAUUAGAAUACAAUAAACUGUACCUAUUUAUUUGCCUGCCUGUUGUCUACAAUGACAGAGUUGAGCAGUUGCUGCAGAGACUAUGUGGUCCAUAAAGCCUAAAAUAUUUGCUAUCUGGCCCUUUACAGAAAAUGUUUGCCAACUCCUAACUUAGAAGAAGUUACAAACUGAGAAAAGAAUUAACUACUAAUUUUUUGUUUGGUUAUUGUUAUACAUACCAUUUCUCAUGUGUAUGUUUCUAAUUUUUUUCAGCUUUUUAAAUAAUGUUAGAAGGAAUAUUAGAAUUCAAAUAUCAUCAUUUUGUAACUCCUGAUGAGUCACCAGUUGUAGGCAAUGGUUAUCAAUAGGAGUAGGUCUAGGCAUUGGUCAUCAAAGAGUAAUACAUAAUAAUAUUGAUGUAAUAAUGUGCAAUACUAUGAAUGAUGAAUGGUUUAAGCUAUUGUUCUAAAAUAUAUAUAUAAGCCUAGGUGAUUCCAAUGACUGUACCAAGUUGAGAACAUUAACCUCCUUUCUCUUUAUUAUUCAUAUGUGAAAAGUUAAGUCACAGAACAGAUACCAAAAGGGAGUACCCACCCAGAGACCCAGACAUGUUUCAUCAUGUGAGUUCUUCCUGCCCUCUCACGGUGUACUAGAGUGUUUAAAACAAAACAAAAUGGUAUAUGAAUCCUAGCAAGAUAUGCUUUGUAUCAGUUUUCUCUAUCUCAAUUCUGGUAGUUCCUAUAAACCAUAUCGGUCAGUAAAAUAUUGUGUCCUGUAGCACCAUUACCUGCCAAGUGGAGAGAGAAAGGAAGAUAGUUAUGUAAUACCUGCCCCUAUAGUGAUGGCCCAUAUAUUAUCUGUCUAAUCUUCUAAAGAAUUGGGUGGUGCAGAGGGUGGAGUAUUAUAAUAUUCCAAUACUAGCUUCUCUGAAGGACUAAUAUAUUGCUGAUUUAGUAGUGGUCAAAGUUGAGAAGUGGGAAAGGAAUGGUUGGGAAAAACUCUAAGGAAACUUGGGCUCUCACAAGGCUAAAGGAAGUAAUGCUGGAGUAGCAGAAAAGCUUGAAGCUGAAAGACUUGGUUCAAGUCCUGGCUUUUUUCUUAUGACAAGGUGACUUAGAAAAAGCCCCUUAACCUUUAUGAAUUGCAGUUGCCUCUGAUGUAGCAGGCUAACUUCACAAGGUUGUUGUGAAGAUUAAAUGGAGUAAUGUAUCUGAAAGAAUUUUGUAAACUCUAUAACACUAGGUAAAUAGAAGUUCUCAUUACUUAGGCUCAUUCAUUUUGCCAAUGAACUAAAGCCAUCUUUGGUGGUUGCCAAGUUCAGGAACGUUAAAAGAAGCAUUUGGCUUUCUUGCAGAUGGGUGAUUUACACUGAAUCUAAGCUGUUGCAUGCUGUCUUUUUAGACUAAAUAGCUUACUUUCCAUUUAUUCUCUUGUCUCUAGGAAGGGAGCUGGAUGUGUCAUGGAGAAGAAGCAUAGAAUGAAAAGAGAUGCAGGAGUUGAGGCAGCCAUACACUUCUUUUAGAAGCAGUAUCCCUCUAUAAUUUGGCAGAGAGAAGGUAAAACGAAUACAAAGUAAUGUGUGAUAGAAAACAGAACUGAAAAAAAAAAGAAAAAAAAAAA